ACGCGAACUCGAGGCCUGUGUGCUGGCUCCCAGAAGCUAUCUUCACAAUUUGACCUCGGAUCAGGU
rnacentral:rRNA from 1 species